AAGUGGGGGAAUCCAUGCUCCGGUCGCCAUGGCCGCGGGAUUGUUGAUCCUGCCGGACCCGACUGCUAUUUGGGUGAGAAUAAGCCAUGCGAGUUGAAUGGGAUGCCUAAAGUUCCCAUAGCAAACUGCUCAGUAACACAUGAUCAACUUACCCUAUAGAGAAAAAUAACCUCGGGAAACUGAGGAUAAUGUUUCAUAAUUGAAUUGGCUUGGAAAAGUUUUUCAAUGAAAGGGAUAAAAAAAAUGGUUUUUAUCUGCUAUAGGAUAGGAUCGUGUUCGAUUAUGGUUGUUGGUGAGAUAAUGGCUCACCAAGCCGAUAAUCGAUAGGGGCCGUGAGAGCGGGAGCCCCGAGAUGGGUACUGAGACAACGACCCAGGCCUUACGAGGCGCAGCAGGCGCGGAACCUCCGCAAUACACGAAAGUGUGACGGGGUUACCCAAAGUGUUCAAUAGAACUGUGGUAGGUGAGUAAUGUCCCCUACUAGAAAGGAGAGGGCAAGGCUGGUGCCAGCCGCCGCGGUAAAACCAGCUCUUCAAGUGGUCGGGAUAAUUAUUGGGCUUAAAGUGUCCGUAGCCGGUUUAGCAAGUUCCUGGUAAAAUCGGGUAGCUUAACUAUCUGCAUGCUAGGAAUACUGCUAUACUAGAGGGCGGGAGAGGUCUGAGGUACUACAGGGGUAGGGGUGAAAUCUUAUAAUCCUUGUAGGACCACCAGUGGCGAAGGCGUCAGACUGGAACGCGCCUGACGGUGAGGGACGAAAGCCAGGGGAGCGAACCGGAUUAGAUACCCGGGUAGUCCUGGCCGUAAACGAUGCAUACUAGGUGAUGGUACGGCCAUGAGCCGUAUCAGUGCCGUAGGGAAACCGUUAAGUGUGCCGCCUGGGAAGUACGGUCGCAAGGCUAAAACUUAAAGGAAUUGGCGGGGAGCACCACAAGGGGUGAAGCCUGCGGUUCAAUUGGAGUCAACGCCGGAAAUCACUAGUGCGGGCGCCUGCAGGUCGACCAUAUGGGAGAGCUCCCAACGCGUUGGAUGCAUAGCUUGAGUAUUCUAUAGUGUCACUAAAUAGCUUGGCGUAUCAUGGUCAUAGCUGUUUCUUGUGUGAAUUGUUAUCCGCUCACCAUCCACACAAACAUACGAGGCCGGAGCAUAAAUGUAAGGCCUGGGGUGCUAUGAUGACUACUCAAUAAUUGGCUGGCUUCAUGACCUUCCAGUCGGAACCUGUCUUGUCAGCUGCCUAUAAUUGGAAAUCGGGUCA
rnacentral:rRNA from 1 species